rnacentral:ncRNA from 1 species
AUUGGUUUUUGAACCGUUUGAACCCUUAAAGACACAAAUUACGGCGACGAAGUAUAGGAAUAUAUUUCGUGAAAGUUAACUUAUUUCGGUGAAGUCCAGAACGGAUAAUACCGAGGGAAGAUAGAAGAAAUAUCACCCGUAGAGACUAAACGUUAACCAUCCAGAACGGAUGAAGUUAUAGUCCAAUUCACAUAGGAAUAUGUGU